AGCUCCAAUAGCGUAUAUUAAAGUUGUUGCAGUUAAAAAGCUCGUAGUUGGAUUUCUGAGAUUAACUAUCGGUCCGUGGCAUUUUUGUCAUGUGUACUGUUUUUGUUUAAUCUCAUCCUUGUAGUAAUUGCAUCUGGCAUUUGGUUGUCGGGUGUAGGAGCUGCAUCGUUUACUGUGAAAAAAUUAGAGUGUUUAAAGCAGGCUUAUGCCGUGAAUACAUUAGCAUGGAAUGAUAUUAUAGGACUUUGGUACUAUUUUAUUGGUUUGCAUAUCAAAGUAAUGAUUAAUAGGGAUAGUUGGGGGUAUUCAUAUUUAAUUGUCAGAGGUGAAAUUCUUGGAUUUAUGAAAGAUGAACAUAUGCGAAAGCAUUUACCAAGGAUGUUUUCA
rnacentral:rRNA from 1 species